rnacentral:tmRNA from 1 species
GGGGACGUCAGGAUUUUGACGUGGAUGAACUUUGACAGCAGCAAGUCGAGCCAAGCACAACUCGUAAAACGGCUUAAAAAAACAACUGAGGAUAAAAUCAUCUCAGCCAGCGACUCACCUUUAGGUGAGCCCGCUUCUGAAGCUGCGUUCGCUUUCGCUUACGCCGCCUAAGACACGCUUAGAGGAGAUGCUUGGGGCAACUCUAGGAGUGGAAAAUACUCAAGCUGCAGGAAAGAAGGUGAUUGAGUCUUUCUUAAGUAAAAAAAUCAUCUCCUGAUAAUGAAACCUGUUUGUCGGUUGUUGUCGGGUAGUAGUAAAGACAGACUAAACUUGUAGAAGCUGAUUAAAGAUUGUUUGCGGACGUGGGUUCGACUCCCACCGUCUCCACCA